ensembl:lncRNA
AGGACCUGGGCUGACACACUGAUUAACAGGGGAACAGAUGAGGACUGGGUUCAGAGGCCUACUGUACAUUUGAGUACUCACUGCAGGUUACCACUGAGCCAUCGGACGAGGAUGCUGACCCAUAAUGAUCCUAAAAUCCUCUGGGUACUGAUCUACCUGUACCUGGUCAGAGCCGUUGCUGGGGCUGGCAGGAACCAAAUCUGCCUCUUGGAUACUGAGAACUAAGGCUUUGUAGAACAUCUUUUUCUCUUUUAAAUUGCAGGUGUCCUAGCUCACUUACUUAUGGUUUAUGAAACUAGCCAAUUCUACUUGAAGGCCAGCCUGAACGAGCAACAGCAAGCCGACUCAGAUGAUAGCAUCAGCUCAUCCAGCUCUUUGGUCAAAACCAUUGCUCUCAAUAUCACCAUUGCCCUUGCCAAUAAUCAUAAUAAGAGCUAACAUUUAUCGAGCACUUAAUUUGUGCCAGGCAGCCUGCCAAACACCAUGCAUGGAUUAUCUUAUUUGAUUCUCAUAACUACUCUGUAAGGUAGGCCCCAUUUUUUUCCCCAGAGAAGUUAAGUAUUUGCUGAAGGCCACAUGACUAAUAAACGGCAAAAUUUAAAAUCAGGUCAAUCUCAUUUCACAGCCUGUGCUCUUAACUACUAGAAUGAGCACAGCUGUCAGUGAUACAUCCGGGUGAGGACCUCAGACUUGACUCCCUCUGCCUGAUUGCUCGGUAGGGCCCUUCGUCAGCCUCAAAUCUCUCUCGGGUGGGAGGUGGUGUGGGAUGGGGUGGAUUUGGACCAGGGGUUGGGUCUCAGUUCUCCUGCAGGCAAGUCGGUAGCUUCCUAGCUACAGCAGGAAGACAGUAGGAACACUCUAAUCCCGAGGGGCCAGCUGGUAGAGGAGCUGGCGUGAAAGGAAAGCCUGGCCAUUUUACUCUUUACGUUUGGGGACACCAUGCUCAUGAAUGAUCUAAUCGAGCAUUCUUGGGCUACAAGCACAAAAAGUAAACAGAAAUUAUUUAGGCAGGGCUUUUUUCCCCCAAAAGUCCAGAGUGAUUUUACCCAGAGACAAAGUCCUCAUUUGUUCGUUAAUACCACUUCAUGGCAUUGUGACUGCCUUAAUUGCCGCCAGUCCUCCUGUGGCUGAUGAAGUAUCUGUUCCUUUAUGACCCGUGGGAUGCACAAGGUUUAGCAUAAUAGCACCGCCUCCAUUCCCGUGGCAGCUCAGCCAGCACCCAGGCACACACAGACCAUCAUUUGAGUCAAUUAGGAAACUACUGAGUGUCUCUUCAGUCGUUCAGCCCACGCGGAUGCUAGGUGCUUGUUAAUUCAGUAUUAGCGCCCUGCUGCUCCCUUCCUUCCCAGCUCCUCCAUUUCAGCACUGUGGUGACUUAGCGGCUUGUGCUUCAUGUUUCUUUUGCUGCCUUUAAGGACCUGCCUCUCUGAUGAAAAUGGACUUCCUAACUCUGUGAUACCGUGGAAUCUUAGAGAGGAUGUCACUGCACCCUGCCCACCAAUUUGAUGUGGUUUAAGGUGCCAGCUGCUGAUAUCUGCAGGCUGCUAACAUGACUGCUUAACCACCUAUCUUGGAACAGCUUGGUAUAGCAAGCCCAGGGGUGGCUGCUAGGAAUUCUGAACCAACGCAAAAUGGAGAAGCCACCCUUCUCGAUGUCAACAAGGAAGUCAAUGUCAAUGGAUUCUGAGAAGUGAUGUCCAACUCUGGAGUGAAAGUGGCCUCAGGAUCAAGAAUUAUUGUAGAACUAUCAAUGUCAGUCUGUCCAGUUACCAGUGGGAGAAAUUUCAAAACUCCAUGCCAGCUCUCCAUUCCCCGUGAGCACAUAACUCCAUGGUCGUGCAGAGCACAAGCCUACUGAACGCCCAGACUUUGAAAACAACUCCUACUCAGCUCUACACACUAUCACAGGACUCAGGAGGUAGAGAAGUUGCCUGGACAAAAUAAUCACAGCCUUUAAUUUUUCAAACACCCAAAAAUGGACUUCGGUGAAUCUGGUAACUGGCUCUUUAAGGAAAAUAAAAUGACAAUGAUGAUAUCUACGACAAUAAAACCCAAAUAAUAUAUUCCCUUUCCAAACACAAGUGUUUCAAAAUAAAAAACAGAUGAAAGUUUCUGAUAGGCCCCCAAAAAAUUACUCACUUUUCUUCAAGUCUUUAAUUACUAGUGAGAUUAUCUUUUCAUGUAUGAACCGGACAUUUAUAUAUCUUCUUUUCUAAAUUGCUAUUUUUGUUGUUUCCCCGCUUUCUAAUGGGAUAUUCAUUUGUUAUUUGUUUGUUAGAGCUCUUUUUAUAUUAUAUCUAAUAACCCUUUAUUAUAUGUGAUGGUGAUUUUUGUCCUCAGUUUGACAUUUAUCUUGACUAUGGUGUUCUUACUAUAUGUAAAUAUUUUUUAUUAUUAUGUAUUCACAUGUAUCAAUCUUUUAUAGCAUCUGCCUUUUAUGUCAUCUUUGGAAAAGCAUUCUUCAAUACAAGAUUAUAAAAAUACUCACCUAUAGUUCCUCAAGUAUUUUUAGGGUUGGUUUUUCUUUUUUUUUUUUAAUGUUUAAACCUUUAAAUUAUGUGGAAUUUAUUUUGCUUUAAGGCAUCGGAUAGGAUUAAACUUAAUUUUUCCCCUGACUAUCCAUUUGUUCCAGUAUCAUUUAUUGAAAAAUUCUUCUUUUUCCUCCACCUUCAUCUUAUACAUUCUCUAUGUGCCAAUGAAAAGGAAAAGGUUACUUAUUUUAAUUUUAUUGGGAAUGAAUACCAG